rfam:Cupriavidus basilensis strain 4G11 chromosome secondary, complete sequence.
CCCCGGGCGACCGGGGGGCUGAAGGAAGCCCGAGGCAACGCGCUGGCCUGACGAACAGGAAGCGGAUACGGGGCGACGCAUCGGGGUAAGGCAGAAAAGGCCAAAGCCAGGUGCUUGCACGGAACGAUGCGGCGUAAAGCACUUGUGGUUCGGUCGGCAGCAAUGUGC